GACGAACGCUGGCGGCGUGCUUAACACAUGCAAGUCGAACGGAAAGGCCCUGCUUUUGUGGGGUGCUCGAGUGGCGAACGGGUGAGUAGCACGUGAGUAACCUGCCCUUGACUUUGGGAUAACUUCAGGAAACUGGGGCUAAUACCGGAUAGGAGCUCCUGCUGCAUGUUGGGGGUUGGAAAGUUUCGGCGGUUGGGGAUGGGCUCGCGGCUUAUCAGCUUGUUGGUGGGGUAGUGGCUUACCAAGGCUUUGACGGGUAGCCGGCCUGAGAGGGUGACCGGCGACAUGGGGACUGAGAUACGGCCCAGACUCGUACGGGAGGCAGCAGGGGGGAAUAUUGCACAAUGGGCGGAAGCCUGAUGCAGCAACGCCGCGUGCGGGAUGACGGCCUUCGGGUUGUAAACCGCUUUCGCCUGUGACGAAGCGUGAGUGACGGUAAUGGGUAAAGAAGCACCGGCUAACUACGUG
rnacentral:rRNA from 1 species